AAAUUGAAGAGUUUGAUCAUGGCUCAGAUUGAACGCUGGCGGCAGGCCUAACACAUGCAAGUCGAGCGGUAGCACAGAGAGCUUGCUCUCGGGUGACGAGCGGCGGACGGGUGAGUAAUGUCUGGGAAACUGCCUGAUGGAGGGGGAUAACUACUGGAAACGGUAGCUAAUACCGCAUAACGUCGCAAGACCAAAGUGGGGGACCUUCGGGCCUCAUGCCAUCAGAUGUGCCCAGAUGGGAUUAGCUAGUAGGUGGGGUAACGGCUCACCUAGGCGACGAUCCCUAGCUGGUCUGAGAGGAUGACCAGCCACACUGGAACUGAGACACGGUCCAGACUCCUACGGGAGGCAGCAGUGGGGAAUAUUGCACAAUGGGCGCAAGCCUGAUGCAGCCAUGCCGCGUGUGUGAAGAAGGCCUUCGGGUUGUAAAGCACUUUCAGCGGGGAGGAAGGCGUUAAGGUUAAUAACCUCAUCGAUUGACGUUACCCGCAGAAGAAGCACCGGCUAACUCCGUGCCAGCAGCCGCGGUAAUACGGAGGGUGCAAGCGUUAAUCGGAAUUACUGGGCGUAAAGCGCACGCAGGCGGUCUGUCAAGUCGGAUGUGAAAUCCCCGGGCUCAACCUGGGAACUGCAUUCGAAACUGGCAGGCUAGAGUCUUGUAGAGGGGGGUAGAAUUCCAGGUGUAGCGGUGAAAUGCGUAGAGAUCUGGAGGAAUACCGGUGGCGAAGGCGGCCCCCUGGACAAAGACUGACGCUCAGGUGCGAAAGCGUGGGGAGCAAACAGGAUUAGAUACCCUGGUAGUCCACGCCGUAAACGAUGUCGAUUUGGAGGUUGUGCCCUUGAGGCGUGGCUUCCGGAGCUAACGCGUUAAAUCGACCGCCUGGGGAGUACGGCCGCAAGGUUAAAACUCAAAUGAAUUGACGGGGGCCCGCACAAGCGGUGGAGCAUGUGGUUUAAUUCGAUGCAACGCGAAGAACCUUACCUGGUCUUGACAUCCACAGAACUUAGCAGAGAUGCUUUGGUGCCUUCGGGAACUGUGAGACAGGUGCUGCAUGGCUGUCGUCAGCUCGUGUUGUGAAAUGUUGGGUUAAGUCCCGCAACGAGCGCAACCCUUAUCCUUUGUUGCCAGCGGUCCGGCCGGGAACUCAAAGGAGACUGCCAGUGAUAAACUGGAGGAAGGUGGGGAUGACGUCAAGUCAUCAUGGCCCUUACGACCGGCUACACACGUGCUACAAUGGCAUAUACAAAGAGAAGCGACCUCGCGAGAGCAAGCGGACCUCAUAAAGUAUGUCGUAGUCCGGAUUGGAGUCUGCAACUCGACUCCAUGAAGUCGGAAUCGCUAGUAAUCGUAGAUCAGAAUGCUACGGUGAAUACGUUCCCGGGCCUUGUACACACCGCCCGUCACACCAUGGGAGUGGGUUGCAAAAGAAGUAGGUAGCUUAACCUUCGGGAGGGCGCUUACCACUUUGUGAUUCAUGACUGGGGUGAAGUCGUAACAAGGUAACCGUAGGGGAACCUGCGGUUGGAUCACCUCCUUACCUUAAAGAA
rnacentral:rRNA from 1 species